rnacentral:rRNA from 1 species
UCCGGUGACGAUGGCACGGUGGUCCCACCCAGCCCCAUCUCGAACCUGGAAGUUAAGCACCGCAGCGGCGAAUGUAGCUCUUCAUUGAGUCAGAAUAGCACGUUGCCGGGC